rnacentral:tRNA from 1 species
GCCCGGAUAGCCAAGCUCGGUACGGCGGUAGCCUGGAAAGCUACUCUCCUUAUGGAGGCAUGAAGGGCGAACAUGUCGUUCGCCUUGGCUAACGUUCAAGUCGCAUUCCGGGCGCCA